rnacentral:rRNA from 1 species
AUUGAACGCUGGCGGCAUGCUUUACACAUGCAAGUCGAACGGUAACAGGCCGCAAGGUGCUGACGAGUGGCGGACGGGUGAGUAAUGCAUCGGAACGUGCCCAGUCGUGGGGGAUAACUACUCGAAAGAGUAGCUAAUACCACAUACGAUCUAUGGAUGAAAGCGGGGGACCGUAAGGCCUCGCGCGAUUGGAGCGGCCGAUGUCGGAUUAGGUAGUUGGUGGGGUAAAGGCUCACCAAGCCAACGAUCUGUAGCUGGUCUGAGAGGACGACCAGCCACACUGGGACUGAGACACGGCCCAGACUCCUACGGGAGGCAGCAGUGGGGAAUUUUGGACAAUGGGCGCAAGCCUGAUCCAGCAAUGCCGCGUGCAGGAAGAAGGCCUUCGGGUUGUAAACUGCUUUUGUACGGAACGAAACGGCUCUGGUUAAUACCCGGGGCUAAUGACGGUACCGGAAGAAUAAGCACCGGCUAACUACGUG